CAGAAAUGGAGGCGGCUUCCGAGGGGGAGUCUCGAGCCAUUGCUUUCGGUGAACAGAAGGAGGCUCUCGUCGUGAGGUCAUGGAAUGCGAUGAGGAAGGAUGCAGCCGAUGUUGCACUGAAGUUCUUCUUGAGGGUCUUCGAGAUCGCACCUUCAGCCGCUCGACUCUUCUCCUUCCUGCGCGACUCCAACGUGCCGCUCGACAAGAACCCAAAGCUCAAAUCCCAUGCCAUGUCUGUGUUUACCAUGGUGUGCGAGUCUGCGACACAGCUGAGGAAGAAAGGCAAGGUUUCGGUGAGAGAGACGACGUCGAAGAAGUUGGCGGGCACUCAUCUCAAGGCUGGCGUCAUCGAUAAACAUUUCGAGGU